rnacentral:rRNA from 1 species
ACGUGUAGCAGUGAAAUGCGUAGAUAUGUGGAGGAAUACCAAUGGCGAAGGCAGCCCCCUGGGAUAACACUGACGCUCAUGCACGAAAGCGUGGGGAGCAAACAGGAUUAGAUACCCUGGUAGUCCACGCCCUAAACGAUGCUGACUAGUUGUUCGGGAUUUACAUCCUGAGUAACGUAGCUAACGCGUGAAGUCAGCCGCCUGGGGAGUACGGUCGCAAGAUUAAAACUCAAGGGAAUUGACGGGGACCCGCACAAGCGGUGGAUGAUGUGGAUUAAUUCGAUGCAACGCGAAAAACCUUACCUACCCUUGACAUGUCACUAACGAAGUAGAGAUACAUUAGGUGCUCGUAAGAGAAAGUGAACACAGGUGCUGCAUGGCUGUCGUCAGCU